rnacentral:rRNA from 1 species
UUAAGUUAUUAAGGGCGCACGGUGGAUGCCUUGGCACUAGAAGCCGAUGAAGGACGUUACUAACGACGAUAUGCUUUGGGGAGCUGUAAGUAAGCUUUGAUCCAGAGAUUUCCGAAUGGGGAAACCCAGCAUGAGUUAUGUCAUGUUAUCGAUAUGUGAAUACAUAGCAUAUCAGAAGGCACACCCGGAGAACUGAAACAUCUUAGUACCCGGAGGAAGAGAAAGAAAAUUCGAUUCCCUUAGUAGCGGCGAGCGAAACGGGAAGAGCCCAAACCAACAAGCUUGCUUGUUGGGGUUGUAGGACACUCUAUACGGAGUUACAAAGGACGACAUUAGACGAAUCAUCUGGAAAGAUGAAUCAAAGAAGGUAAUAAUCCUGUAGUCGAAAAUGUUGUCUCUCUUGAGUGGAUCCUGAGUACGACGGAGCACGUGAAAUUCCGUCGGAAUCUGGGAGGACCAUCUCCUAAGGCUAAAUACUCUCUAGUGACCGAUAGUGAACCAGUACCGUGAGGGAAAGGUGAAAAGCACCCCGGAAGGGGAGUGAAAUAGAACCUGAAACCGUGUGCUUACAAGUAGUCAGAGCCCGUUAAUGGGUGAUGGCGUGCCUUUUGUAGAAUGAACCGGCGAGUUACGAUUUGAUGCAAGGUUAAGCAGUAAAUGUGGAGCCGUAGCGAAAGCGAGUCUGAAUAGGGCGUUUAGUAUUUGGUCGUAGACCCGAAACCAGGUGAUCUACCCUUGGUCAGGUUGAAGUUCAGGUAACACUGAAUGGAGGACCGAACCGACUUACGUUGAAAAGUGAGCGGAUGAACUGAGGGUAGCGGAGAAAUUCCAAUCGAACCUGGAGAUAGCUGGUUCUCUCCGAAAUAGCUUUAGGGCUAGCCUCAAGUGAUGAUUAUUGGAGGUAGAGCACUGUUUGGACGAGGGGCCCCUCUCGGGUUACCGAAUUCAGACAAACUCCGAAUGCCAAUUAAUUUAACUUGGGAGUCAGAACAUGGGUGAUAAGGUCCGUGUUCGAAAGGGAAACAGCCCAGACCACCAGCUAAGGUCCCAAAAUAUAUGUUAAGUGGAAAAGGAUGUGGCGUUGCCCAGACAACUAGGAUGUUGGCUUAGAAGCAGCCAUCAUUUAAAGAGUGCGUAAUAGCUCACUAGUCGAGUGACACUGCGCCGAAAAUGUACCGGGGCUAAACAUAUUACCGAAGCUGUGGAUUGUCCUUUGGACAAUGGUAGGAGAGCGUUCUAAGGGCGUUGAAGCAUGAUCGUAAGGACAUGUGGAGCGCUUAGAAGUGAGAAUGCCGGUGUGAGUAGCGAAAGACGGGUGAGAAUCCCGUCCACCGAUUGACUAAGGUUUCCAGAGGAAGGCUCGUCCGCUCUGGGUUAGUCGGGUCCUAAGCUGAGGCCGACAGGCGUAGGCGAUGGAUAACAGGUUGAUAUUCCUGUACCACCUAUAAUCGUUUUAAUCGAUGGGGGGACGCAGUAGGAUAGGCGAAGCGUGCGAUUGGAUUGCACGUCUAAGCAGUAAGGCUGAGUAUUAGGCAAAUCCGGUACUCGUUAAGGCUGAGCUGUGAUGGGGAGAAGACAUUGUGUCUUCGAGUCGUUGAUUUCACACUGCCGAGAAAAGCCUCUAGAUAGAAAAUAGGUGCCCGUACCGCAAACCGACACAGGUAGUCAAGAUGAGAAUUCUAAGGUGAGCGAGCGAACUCUCGUUAAGGAACUCGGCAAAAUGACCCCGUAACUUCGGGAGAAGGGGUGCUCUUUAGGGUUAACGCCCAGAAGAGCCGCAGUGAAUAGGCCCAAGCGACUGUUUAUCAAAAACACAGGUCUCUGCUAAACCGUAAGGUGAUGUAUAGGGGCUGACGCCUGCCCGGUGCUGGAAGGUUAAGAGGAGUGGUUAGCUUCUGCGAAGCUACGAAUCGAAGCCCCAGUAAACGGCGGCCGUAACUAUAACGGUCCUAAGGUAGCGAAAUUCCUUGUCGGGUAAGUUCCGACCCGCACGAAAGGCGUAACGAUUUGGGCACUGUCUCAACGAGAGACUCGGUGAAAUCAUAGUACCUGUGAAGAUGCAGGUUACCCGCGACAGGACGGAAAGACCCCGUGGAGCUUUACUGUAGCCUGAUAUUGAAAUUCGGCACAGCUUGUACAGGAUAGGUAGGAGCCUUUGAAACGUGAGCGCUAGCUUACGUGGAGGCGCUGGUGGGAUACUACCCUAGCUGUGUUGGCUUUCUAACCCGCACCACUUAUCGUGGUGGGAGACAGUGUCAAGCGGGCAGUUUGACUGGGGCGGUCGCCUCCUAAAAGGUAACGGAGGCGCUCAAAGGUUCCCUCAGAAUGGUUGGAAAUCAUUCAUAGAGUGUAAAGGCAUAAGGGAGCUUGACUGCGAGACCUACAAGUCGAGCAGGGUCGAAAGACGGACUUAGUGAUCCGGUGGUUCCGCAUGGAAGGGCCAUCGCUCAACGGAUAAAAGCUACCCCGGGGAUAACAGGCUUAUCUCCCCCAAGAGUUCACAUCGACGGGGAGGUUUGGCACCUCGAUGUCGGCUCAUCGCAUCCUGGGGCUGUAGUCGGUCCCAAGGGUUGGGCUGUUCGCCCAUUAAAGCGGUACGCGAGCUGGGUUCAGAACGUCGUGAGACAGUUCGGUCCCUAUCCGUCGUGGGCGUAGGAAAUUUGAGAGGAGCUGUCCUUAGUACGAGAGGACCGGGAUGGACAUACCUCUGGUGUACCAGUUGUCGUGCCAACGGCAUAGCUGGGUAGCUAUGUGUGGACGGGAUAAGUGCUGAAAGCAUCUAAGCAUGAAGCCCCCCUCAAGAUGAGAUUUCCCAACUUCGGUUAUAAGAUCCCUCAAAGAUGAUGAGGUUAAUAGGUUCGAGGUGGAAGCAUGGUGACGUGUGGAGCUGACGAAUACUAAUCGAUCGAAGACUUAAUCAA